GCUAGCAUUUCCUGCUGCUCUAUUACAUUGUCUGCCUACCUUUAAGUCAUCAGAAAUAAACACCCCUAAAUCCCUUUCCUCAGAUGUUGAGGUUAGGACUCUAUCAAAUAUUCUGUACUCUGCCCUUGGGUUUUUGCGUCCAAGAUGCAUUAUCUUGCACUUAACCACAUUAAAUGUCAGUUGCCACAACUCUGACCAUUUUCUAGUUUACCUAAAUCAUUUGCCAUUUGGCUUAUCCGUCC